UGGGCCUAGCCCCUAGGUUCUAUGACUCUUUUGAUGAUUCUGAGCCCUAUCUACAGAGGUCAUUGGGAAAUAUCUCUUGGCCCAUCUACUAGGUUCUGCCAAAACAAGUGAUUGCAACAUAUAAUUGGACCAGCAACUAGAUGAUGUGACUCUUCUCUUCUGCCUGAGCCCUGGAUAUACUGUGUAUUAUGACACAUGGCUGAGUCCAACAUCAAGGUGAUGUGACUGACCACUUCUGCCUGGGCCAUGCCGAAAAAAGGAGAUUGUGACAUAUCACUGCAUUCAAUACCUAGAUGAUGCUCCAUGACAAGUGGCACCAACAACAGGGACUUCAAGGACGUGACGAAGAAGGUCUGCUAGAGCAGAGGAAGUGAAAUUUACCAGAUGAACCGGGACCCCAGGACGAGUCUGUCAGCAGGGAAUAUAAGCUCGAGCUGAGCUUUUGAUUGCUGUCCACCACUGCUAUUUGCCGCCAUUGCAGACCUGCCACUGACUUUCAUCCCUCCAGAUCCAGCAAGGUGUCCACUGUGCUCCUGAUCCAGCAAGGCACCCAUUGCUGCUCCUAAUCAGGCUAAAGGCUUGCCAUUGUUCCUGCAUGGCUAAGUUCCUGGGUUCAUUCUAAUCAAGCUGAACAGUAGUCACUGGGUUCCAUGGUUCUCUUCCAUGACCCAUGGCUUCCAAUAGAACUAUAACACUCACCUCAUGGCCCAAGAUUCCAUUCCUUGGAAUCCGUGAAGCCAAGAACCCCAGGUCAGAGAACAUAAGGC
rnacentral:lncRNA from 1 species